UACGUAGGGGGCAAGCGUUGUCCGGAUUUAUUGGGCGUAAAGAGCGUGUAGGCGGCCAGGUAGGUCUGCUGUGAAAACUCGAGGCUUAACCUCGAGCUGUCGGCGGAAACCAUCUGGCUAUAGUCCGGAAGAGGAGAAUGGAAUUCCCGGUGUAGCGGUGAAAUGCGCAGAUAUCGGGAAGAACACCCGUGGCGAAGGCGGUUCUCUGGGACGGUACUGACGCUGAGACGCGAAAGCGUGGGGAGCGAACAGG
rnacentral:rRNA from 1 species